rnacentral:lncRNA from 1 species
GGGAUUUGGGGUUUCUUUUUUUAUUUUUUUUUAAUUUUGAGAAUGAAAAUUAUUAAAAUACCCUUAACCUUAAAACUUAGAAUUCAUGAUAUAUAGGGGUAUUUUUGUCUACUGAAACCCGGUACACAUUGCUAAAAUGUACCAACUGAAAAACAGGCGUACGCAAGUUAGCAAACCCCAUAUAUAUAAUAUUAUUUUAAUAUUUAAAAUUGUAACUAAAGAAAUUCAAUGUACUUUUCUAAUUCAACAACG